CUCCUACGGGAGGCAGCAGUGGGGAAUAUUGCACAAUGGGCGCAAGCCUGAUGCAGCCAUGCCGCGUGUGUGAAGAAGGCCUUCGGGUUGUAAAGCACUUUCAGCGGGGAGGAAGGCGUUAAGGUUAAUAACCUUGGCGAUUGACGUUACCCGCAGAAGAAGCACCGGCUAACUCCGUGCCAGCAGCCGCGG
rnacentral:rRNA from 1 species